rnacentral:misc_RNA from 1 species
AAUUGUAUUUCUUUUGUCUAUGAUUGAGUCAUGUAUUGGAAUGCGAAUUACCUUAGACUGAAGUUUGUUUAAAUUGAUAGUUUUAUACCUAAAUUUAGUUUUUUAAUUUUUGAACUUGAUUUCUUCUGAUUUGAUGUUACAACCCCAUCUUUGUUUCUUUUUCUGUUACACGUGCACGAAAUUUAGUAACUCAGUCUCUAGGGUUCAACCUGGAUUACCACUUAUUGUAUUUAUUCAGAAAAUAUUUCAUUAUUGAUAAUUUCAGUUAAUUUUUGGUGGAAUCGGCAAUAUACCAAUUUAUAGUAUCAUAAUCCAAUUAUAAUAAUAGAA